rnacentral:rRNA from 1 species
AAUUUUUGACAAUGGGGGAAACCCUGAUCCAGCCAUCCCGCGUGUAUGAUGAAGGCCUUCGGGUUGUAUAGUACUGUUGUCUGUGAAGAAAAGGUAUCUCCUAAUACGAGAUACUGCUGACGGUAUCUGCAGAAUAAGCACCGCCCAACUACGUGCCAGCAGCCGCGGUAAUACGUAGGGUGCAAGCGUUAAUCGGAAUUACUGGGCGUAAGGCGUGUGUAGGCGGUUCGGAAAGAAAGAUGUGAAAUCCCAGGGCCCAACCUUGGAACUACAUUUUUAACUGCCGAGCUAGAGUAUGUCAGAGGGGGGUAGAAUUCCACGUGUAGCAGUGAAAUGCGUAGAUAUGUGGAGGAAUACCGAUGGCGAAGGCAGCCCCCUGGGAUAAUACUGACGCUCAGACACGAAAGCGUGGGGAGCAAACA